ensembl:lncRNA
UAGAAGUUCCAUGAGGACCUAGGGGAACAGUUAAUAUUUUCCUUAACAUACCAAACAAUUUACUUGGAUUACUGUAUACCUGUUGGGUUAUAAUCGUUUGUUUUCAAACCACUUGAAAAUUAUUUUCUCAUGGCUUAUUUUAAAUAUUUUCAGAAAAAGCAAAAAGGUCUGUUCCAGAUGAGCGAUGUAGUUGUCUGUUUGUAGCCUCAGUAGAUCAAGUGGCAGAAAGCAACUUUAAUGUGCAGUAACACAUGAAUGUCAUUAAUUUCCAAACCAGCCUGUAAAACAUGAAUGUGUCAUUCUUACAAUUUCACAGACAUCUCUCUUCUGCCUUCACUCAUUAUGAUGCAUACAGAUGCUAUGGAAAGUUUACACAACCUUUGCACUUUGUCUUCACAUUUUGCUGCAUUGUUUUGUUGGGGGUCAUUGAUGGAUAGCAAUAUUCAAACUGUCUAAUUUUUUUUAAAGAAAGCAAAUUGAAGUCAGGAUUGAGAUUAGGCUGUCCAAAAACGAUUAACAACUCUGUUGUCCUUGUCUUUAUAAUGUGUGCAGCUGUUCCACAUCUUAGGUUUUGACUGUCAUAACACCCAGACCAGUUUUCCUCUAUCUUUUUACAUGGACUUUGGUACUUUUAAUAAGAUUCCUAACAAAUUCUUUAGUCCCUGUCAGGACAAGCAUACCCAUAACAUGAUCUUUAACCACAAUACAAAAUGGAAAGCAAAUCAAGUAUAUUGAAUUCACUCACAUAACACAUUUCAUUAAGUAAAUGGAAGAAAUCCUGCACUCCAAAUAAUCCUUUCUGUUUGAAACAAGGCCAUUAAUAAAUCCAAUACAACACAGUAAAAACCUCUGGAACUAUAAGUAUUGUAAUGGCAGCCUCAUGUUAAUGGUAUGCUUAUCGACAAUGACUGGGUACUUUGUCUGGAUCAGAAGAAAUAUGAAGCGAGCAAAGCCUAGGUAAAGAGUUAAAGCAUCAUCCCACUUGAUUUUUCUGGUCACUUACCCUUGGGGAUCAAGUUUUUUUUUUGUGGUGAGACAAUUAUGUCAAAAACACACCGCUAUAGGUUUCUGAAAUGUUAAGUUUGAGUGGUCCAGUCUUAGGCUUAAUGCUGUCAUGACUGCAUGUUGCUCUAAGAGUUAUGAAUAUGUUAAAGUAUUAUCCUGAAGGUUUUGUAGCUGUAAUGACUGCCAAAGGUGCUUUCAACUGGUAUUCAUGUAGGGUCUCAAUAUAACUUAAGUUGACUAGGAAAGACAAAUGUCUAAAGAGAAUAUAAUAUAGUAAUACUGUAUUUAAUGUGACAUGACAUUUGUGUCAUGUUUUAACAAUAUCCAGCUAAAGACUGUGAGUGAACCUUAUUUAUUUAUUACAGUUAAGCUACAACAGUAUAUUAAAACCUUUUAUACCAGCAAUUGUUAAAACAUUAAGAGUAUAAUAAAUGUACCCAGGUUUUAUCUUGUCAAGCCAGGCUUAUGUCAAAAUGUUUAGAAUCACUUCAACCUGGCCAAAUGGAGUGAAAACAGCAGUCAUAAAAAUACUCUCUUUUGCUGGGUGUGAAAAAAGUUUGUGAUCCUUGACCCGGACAGCAUUUUGAAUUGUGACAAUAUCAUCAAACGAGUUUGACGCCUGCCAUUCGCCAACACAUCAUAUAACGUCUUAAUUUCACUCUCUUUGGAUUUCUCUACAAUUACUGCGGCAGAAGAAAGGCACAAUCAACACUUUGUUUUGAAUAUGUUACAUUUCAAAUUGUGGAGACAGUUGUGUAUAUUUUCAGGAGAAAAUCUACCGCAGCAAAAUAUGAAGACUCUGAAAAGGGUGUGUAGACUGUCACUCUAAUGCUUACCUCCACCUACUGUAUGUGUAUAUCGCAGUGUGUUUGUAAACGUAUAUAUUCAUAUAUUCAGGAAUGUAUAGGCACAUACUGUAUAUGUAUACUUACAGCAAGUAUAUUUAAAAAAAAAAAUCCUUAAUUUUGUUCUUCAGUGUGACUUCGACUAAUACCUUUUAAAAGAGGUUGGAGGAUGAACUCUCUUGUUCAUUUUCUUUCUUAAAAUUAUUUUUCCAAUAACUAGGUUAUGUUUUCACUCCUUUCUGCCGAAGGCUUUACACAGAUAAAUAGAUCGACAAGACAACUGCAGACUAAUCUGAUUGUGCUGGUUUGGGGGCAAAAUGUAUAGUCCCGUAGGACUUCCUAUAAAAAUAUAGUGCACUGAAUAAGGAUGCAGCCACAGACAGGUCAGCAGCCAUUUUCUUUUUUACGACACCAAAGAGUUGCUUCAUUAUACAGUACACUGUUUUCUUGAUUGUCCAAGCUCCUGCAGUCUGUCUGAAUGUGAUAACUACAUAUCUAUAGACUAUACUGUUUGGAAAAUGGUUAAAUGGCUUCUCGGUGCUCGUCCCACCCAAACCUUGUAAUUUGCCAUUCAACACAGUUUUUUUGGGCAAAAUAAAACUGUGUUUUAUUUUGGAUUUGGCGUCUCGUACUACUGAGCUACAUACAUUGGAAAGAGCUGUUGUGUGGUUUUGCACUAUUUUCCGUAUCUAGAACCACUCAGUUUAUUUAAUUUUUUAAAACAUUAAACCUUCUUGUUUAUUUUUCUCAGAAGGACCAAAACAUGAUGGAAAAAUUUACUGUGUCAUUUGCCAGUAAUACUGACUGGCUUCACUUUAAGAUUUUUUUUCAUUUCCAGUUAAUUAUAUUCUUAUAUAUUUAUAUAUUUGAAAAAAUAUAUAUACUUUUAAUUUCAAUAUAUUACAAAUGAAUACUUUUAAUAUAUAAUUUAAGAAAAAUACAAAUUGUGCAUUUAAGAUAACAAAUUUGUCUCCAAAACAAUGGUUGUACAUAUUGCCCAUUAUUCAAACAUGAAAAUAAAAAAAAUUCUGGUGAUAUAUUAAAUGUGUGCAUCUCAAAAUCAACUAUAUCCAGUUUUGGGAGGUUUUCUGUCAAUGGUAGUGAUUCCUGUCUGAAUGGGCUACCAGUAUAUUUAGAGGCACUAAAAGCCCUUUUGUCAGGUCACAACAUAUUUGAUGUCCUAAAUGUACUCUAGCGCAUAGGAAGAUGCAUGAUCUUUAGUGUUUACAGACUUGAAAGAACCAUUUAUUCAAUACAGUCUAUCAGAACCUAUCUUGAUUAAUCACAAAUUCAUAAAAUUCCUCAUUGUCUGUCAUUUUCAUCAGUUCAGCUGAGUGUGGACUUUUUUUUUCUCCCUUUGGAAUAUGAUAGACUUUAUUCAAUGAGAUCCAUAUUUCUUUUCCUGUGUUCCCCAUAAACCAUUUGCUUAACUGAAACUACCCUGUACACAAUAUAUGAAGCCAGGAGAGACCAAUGGGUUUCCCAACUUACCUGUCACUAUAUCAAUCUUCGGGGUUAAAAUUUCUCCGGAGUUACAGUAUUUUCUCAUAAUGGCAAUUCAUUGUACAGUUUUAUGAAGAUACAAUUUCACAGGGAUAGCUGAAUCUCAAUUAAUUUGCUGCCACAAGAAUUAGGAAUUAUGAAGUAUAGAUAUUAUUGUGCAAUGAAAAAAUAAAUGUAAAAUCAUAAGAACCCA